rnacentral:rRNA from 1 species
CGGCGUGCUUAACACAUGCAAGUCGAACGAUGAAGCCCAGCUUGCUGGGUGGAUUAGUGGCGAACGGGUGAGUAACACGUGAGUAACCUGCCCCCGACUUUGGGAUAAGCCCGGGAAACUGGGUCUAAUACCGGAUAUGACUUCCUGCCGCAUGGUGGGCUGUUGAAAGAUUUAUCGGUGGGGGAUGGACUCGCGGCUUAUCAGCUUGUUGGUGAGGUAAUGGCUCACCAAGGCGACGACGGGUAGCCGGCCUGAGAGGGUGACCGGCCACACUGGGACUGAGACACGGCCCAGACUCCUACGGGAGGCAGCAGUGGGGAAUAUUGCACAAUGGGCGGAAGCCUGAUGCAGCGACGCCGCGUGAGGGAUGACGGCCUUCGGGUUGUAAACCUCUUUCAGUAGGGAAGAAGCGAAAGUGACGGUACCUGCAGAAGAAGCGCCGGCUAACUACGUGCCAGCAGCCGCGGUAAUACGUAGGGCGCAAGCGUUAUCCGGAUUUAUUGGGCGUAAAGAGCUCGUAGGCGGUUUGUCGCGUCUGCCGUGAAAGUCCGAGGCUCAACCUCGGAUCUGCGGUGGGUACGGGCAGACUAGAGUGGUGUAGGGGAGACUGGAAUUCCUGGUGUAGCGGUGAAAUGCGCAGAUAUCAGGAGGAACACCGAUGGCGAAGGCAGGUCUCUGGGCAUUUACUGACGCUGAGGAGCGAAAGCAUGGGGAGCGAACAGGAUUAGAUACCCUGGUAGUCCAUGCCGUAAACGUUGGGCACUAGGUGUGGGGAAAUUCCCGUUUUCCGCGCCGUAACUAA